UGGACCAUAGUUAGCAAGACCCAGUAUGCAGAUAAUGAGAUCUGACAAGCAGAUAGCGAGAUAUAGCACCAGGCUGCAGAGUCCAUGCCUGGCAAGACCUAAAGCUAAAACCCAAUCAAAGAAGUCUCAGCAGUUGAAGCAGAAGCCACCAAGGUAAUUUAUUUGAUCUGACCAAAAAGGAUGACAGCCAGCGGAAAGCCGCUCAAAGAAGCUGACAUGCAUUGUACAAAUAAAACACAAAUUUUAUACAAUUCGGUCUUUAGUAUUUUGUGUGCAUACCCAGCUGGGGCCAGCUUCAUGCUGAUUGGUGGAGCCGGCUCUGAUGUCACAAGCAGCUGGGUGGAUUCCCUCCACAUGGAGGGCCUGCAGCACUCAACAUCCAAUAAGAUGAAACUCCCUUCAUAUACCUCCUGUAGAAGCUUUACCAAUAGGGCUUGAAGAAGAAUGGAGCAGGAAAGCUUGUACAAGCUGAGUGGAUUUGGAAGAGUACUGAAAAUAAGACCUGGACUUUUAUUACAAGUGCUUUGAAGAUAUUGUACAGCAAUAUGGUGACUGUUUUACAACCUGAUUAAUGCCAUUACACAUGCCAAAAUGUGAUCAGAA